rnacentral:rRNA from 1 species
AUGGUAACGUCAAGAAUCAAGGGUAUUAACCUCAACCUUUUCUUCCCAAUUGAAAGUGCUUUACAACCCGCAGGCCUUCUUCACACACGCGGUAUUGCUGGAUCAGGGUUGCCCCCAUUGUCCAAUAUUCCCC